rnacentral:misc_RNA from 1 species
UUUUUGCGUUAGGGAUAGCAGUGAAAAUCCCACAAUAAGUUGUAGCGACAGCGAAAACUUAUGAGGAAUUGCAACGGAUAGCCUGACCCGGU